UACGAAGGGGGCGAGCGUUGUUCGGAUUUACUGGGCGUAAAGGGCGCGCAGGCGGCUCAUUUUGUCAGGCGUGAAAGCCCCGGGCUUAACCUGGGAGGUGCGUUUGAUACGGAUGGGCUAGAGUUCGGGAGAGGAGCAUGGAAUUCCCAGUGUAGAGGUGAAAUUCGUAGAUAUUGGGAAGAACACCGGUGGCGAAGGCGGCGCUCUGGACCGAGACUGACGCUGAGGCACGAAAGCGUGGGGAGCAAACAGG
rnacentral:rRNA from 1 species